AACGAACGCUGGCGGCAGGCUUAACACAUGCAAGUCGAGCGCCCCGCAAGGGGAGCGGCAGACGGGUGAGUAACACGUGGGAACGUACCCUUUGCUACGGAAUAGCUCCGGGAAACUGGAAUUAAUACCGUAUGUGCCCUACGGGGGAAAGAUUUAUCGGCAAAGGAUCGGCCCGCGUUGGAUUAGCUAGUUGGUGGGGUAAUGGCCUACCAAGGCGACGAUCCAUAGCUGGUCUGAGAGGAUGAUCAGCCACAUUGGGACUGAGACACGGCCCAAACGCCUACGGGAGGCAGCAGUGGGGAAUAUUGGACAAUGGGCGCAAGCCUGAUCCAGCCAUGCCGCGUGAGUGAUGAAGGCCUUAGGGUUGUAAAGCUCUUUCACCGGAGAAGAUAAUGACGGUAUCCGGAGAAGAAGCCCCGGCUAACUUCGUGCCAGCAGCCGCAGUAACAC
rnacentral:rRNA from 1 species